rnacentral:rRNA from 1 species
GCGUGGGUGAAGAAGGCCCUAGGGUUGUAAAUCCCUUUCAGCUGGGAAGAUAAUGACGGUACCAGCAGAAGAAGCCCCGGCUAACUCCGUGCCAGCAGCCGCGGUAAUACGGAGGGGGCUAGCGUUGUUCAGAAUUACUGGGCGUAAAGCGCACGUAGGCGGACUGUUUAGUCAGAGGUGAAAUCCCAAGGCUCAACCUUGGAAUUGCCUUUGAUACUGACAGUCUUGAGUUCGAGAGAGGUGAGUGGAAUUCCGAGUGUAGAGGUGAAAUUCGU